ensembl:lncRNA
UUAGAGUAGAGGGUAGAGUAGGGGGUAGAGUAGAGGGUAGAGUAGAGGGUAGAGUAGACGGCAUUAGAGUAGAGGGUAGAGUAGACGGCAUUAGAGUAGAGGGUAGAGUAGACGGCGUUAGAGUAGAGGGUAGAGUAGACGGCAUUAGAGUAGAGGGUAGAGUAGAGGGUAGAGUAGACGGUAGAGUAGACGGCAUUAGAGUAGAGGGUAGAGUAGAGGGUAGAGUAGACGGUAGAGUAGACGGCAUUAGAGUAGAGGGUAGAGUAGACGGCGUUAGAGUAGAGGGUAGAGUAGAGGGUAGAGUAGAGAGUAGAGUAGAGGGUAGAGUAGACGGCAUUAGAGUAGAGGGUAGAGUAGACGGCGGUAGAGUAGAGGGUAGAGUAGAGGGUAGAGUAGAGGGUAGAGUAGAGGGUAGAGUAGAGGGUAGAGUAGAGGGUAGAGUAGACGGCAUUAGAGUAGAGGGUAGAGUAGAGGGUAGAGUAGACGGCAUUAGAGUAGAGGGUAGAGUAGACGGCAUUAGAGUAGAGGGUAGAGUAGAGGGUAGAGUAGACGGCAUUAGAGUAGAG